GACGGAGGAUGCAAGUGUUAUCCGGAAUCACUGGGCGUAAAGCGUCUGUAGGUGGUUUAAAAAGUCUAUUGUUAAAAAUUGAAGCUUAACUUCAAAGAUGCAAUGGAAACUUUUAAACUUGAGUAUGGUAGGGGUAGAGGGAAUUUCCAGUGGAGCGGUGAAAUGCGUAGAUAUCAGGAGGAACACCUGUGGUGUAGACAGCUUACUGGACCACUUCUGACGCUGAGACACGAAAGCGUGGGUAGCAAACAGG
rnacentral:rRNA from 1 species